rnacentral:rRNA from 1 species
GGGUAACGGCCCACCAAAGCGACGAUCAGUAGUCGGCCUGAGAGGGUGAACGGCCACAUUGGGACUGAGACACGGCCCAAACUCCUACGGGAGGCAGCAUG